GGGUCAGUAGGUUGGUCGUGCCACCGGUACGUACUGGUCUCACUGAUUCCUCCUUCCUGAAGAACCGUAAUACCAUUAAUUUGGUGUUGCGGGGAAACAGGACUGUUACUUUGAAAAGAUUAGAGUGUUUAAAGCAAGCUAACGCUUGAAUACAUUAGCAUGGAAUAAUGAAAUAGGACGAUCGAUCCUAUUUUGUUGGUUUCUAGGAUUGACGUA
rnacentral:rRNA from 1 species